rnacentral:lncRNA from 1 species
UGUCUAGUCACUCCUACUUAAAAUAAUAAUACUCAGCCAGCCCACUACUACUCUACUAGCCCAGACUCUGAACUGAAGUCGUAACCCUCAAAUCUCAAUUCCCAAAUCCCAAACCAAGAUCUCGAACUCUCAAGUCUCAAUCUCUUAUCCAAAACGGCCAAACCCAGAUCUCGAACUCGUCUCAAUCUCUCGACUCUCAUCGGCCGACGGCCAUCGACGCAUCGCCUCAUCGGCUUCGGCGACCCUUCAUCGGUCAUCAUCAUUCAAUCUCGAAGUCAAAGAGACGAAGACUCAAACUCUCAAGUCUCGAUCUAUCAUUUGGUCUGAGACUCUGAGUGUCUAAUAUCUUCAAUUCUUCAUCGACUAAACUGUUUGAAACUUGAAACUAAGUUCUUCUGCAGUAUCAAAUAUGGUUGAUGUUGCUGUAUGGACCAGAAAGGUAAGCUAAUUAUGAUUAUUAUCAAUCCUUUUCAUUCCAUUUUUUCCCAUUGAGGAUCUGUUAUGGCCGAAUGGCCUGGUAUGGUCACGUAGCACUAUAUUUUUAUUUUACUAUGUUGUUGCUGUAAAGGUUAUUCACCAGCAUGCUACUGUGAUGUAUGUAAAUUAGGCACAAGGAGAUAGGUGGCUGUGGAGUAAUAAGGAGGCUAAAAUGGGAUGGUAGAACAAAUCAAUAGCUAUAAAAAGGGCAUUGGAAAACUAUGCAAACUAGGUGUUUGCUAAAAGUCCUAAAUGAACUGUUUUGAUUAAAAAUUGAAAACUUGACAAAACAAGAGCUUGGGGCUUGGUUUAUAUAACAUAUGUAAUGAUAAUUUGAGUGUUUAAGUAGGCCAAUAUAAAACAAAAUUAAGAUUUCCAACCAAAGAAAAAGUUUAAAACUAGUUGAUCAAGCCAUUCUUAAUCACUGUCUUAGGCGUCAUAAAGAACCCAAAAUGGAGAGUUUAUAACUUCUAAAUGUAGACUCAUAUACUAUGUUUAACAUGUUUGAAAAGGAUUACAAUCCGAUGGAUGAUCUAGAAGUAAUUGAACCACGAAGUGGGCAUAUUGGGCGUCGGACUGCUGCUAACUGCAGUAGCAGUAGCAGUGAUGCGGCUGAGGCUGGGGGUUCUUUUGAACUCUUGGUCGGAUGGGGUUAAACUGUCCAAACAAUUUAGAUAAUACUUCUUCUAAAUAGGUGAGUGUGUAACCAUAUUGACCCCAAGAAGUCAGUGUAUUCAACGAUUAAAAAUGUAAGAAGCUAAAUCAAAUUUCAUUCAUCAAAUUCUCUUUUAUGGGUUCUUCUAAGAGAUUGAGAUUGAAAACAGAUGAGAAGUCUCAAUGUAUAGCUUAAGGAAUGAAAUUGUUUGUGUAAAAUAGAAUUAUCACUAGAUAUUAUAUGUGCUUAAUGAUUGUGAUUAGUAUGUUGUAAUUAUGUGGGAAUCAACUAUAAAAGUAACUUUGAAAGGAAAUAAGGAAAGUAUCAAACCUGUUAGUUUAUGUAUUAAAUGUGUAAUUGAUUUAACUGUGAAAUUGAAUGUUUUGUACUGGAAUUAGAGCAAAAGGAAGUUAGCAUGUCAACCCCUUUGCACACUAAUUUGAGCCAGUCUAUGGGGACUGCCUCGAUUGUGUUGCAAGUUCUAAGGGUAAUUUUAGGUACUAAUAUAUCUAAAAUUCAAGUAUAACUCAGUUUUUGGUUUAAAGACUAAGACUUGAAAGAAAAAGAAACUGAGGAAGGAUGACGGGUUUCUAAGGCAGUAGUAGUGAUAGCAGUUGACUGCUAACUACUGUGUUAACAGUUAGAGUUCAGCCAUCUGUGGGUCAAGCACAGUAUAUCAAGGUUAACCAAAAAGCUUAUUAAAGAAUUUAUGCACAGAACUUAUAAGAAUGUAAUACUUCAUAUGUCAAAGCCAAAAGUGGUUGUUAACAUGUUGAAAGAUAAGGGACUAUUGAAGUACUAAAACAAACUGCUAGACACACUUGGCCUCUAAAUUCGCUUUAGUAUAGAGCAGUCUUGUUUGUUGAACCUUAGACCAGGAUCAAUUUUAAGCUAACUCUAAUAGUAAAAAGCACUAGCUUGAUCAUUCCUUUGCCUACUCUGUUGAAACAAUGACUGAACCAAGGAGCCAAAGCUUAAUAAGCCAACUGGGAUAACCUUAAAACUCUAAAAGAUUAUAGCCAAGAGGUCUGUUCCUAGAAAUCUAGCAAAACUGAGGUUAGAGGAUUGCUGGGAAUGGCUUAAGGAGUAGGGGAAGCUGCUAAUGACAGUAGCAAAUAGCUUCAGAUAGCUGCUGUCCUUGGCAACUUCAAGUUUGGGCAACUGAGUUUGUUUUCCUUGGGCUACAGUUAGUAAGUUAAGUUCAUGCACUUUUGUUUAUUUACUAUAGUUGAUGUAGCAUGAUGACAUGUGACUGCAGCACUUGUAGCAGACCAAACAGCUUAUGGUAAUAGGUGUGCAAGAAAAUAACAGUUGGCAGCACAGCAACAAUAGCAGUAGCAGUUAGCAGUUAGCAGUGCAGUCAUACAUAGAAAAAAAUUAUUGGGAUAGCAAGUUAAAGAAGAAUGGCAGAAUUGCUACUCAUUUGUGGCAGCAGUUGCCAAGUUAGCAGCUGCAAUAGCAGCUUUAUGUUUGACUUAGGGGCCGUGAGGCCAAGCAAGGCCACACCAAGCUUAACUGAGCCUCACAAGGCCAAGCCAAGCUUGGCUGCUAGCAUAGAAAAGCAACAAGAAGACUGCGGAAUGUUGAACUGGGCAUGCUUCCUUUUAUUUUCUGUUAGCUAUAGUUAGUAAGAUAAAAAUUUUAAGGGAAGCUAUAAGCUAAACACUCUUAAAGAAUUAUAUUGUUUAGUAUCUAUUGCAUUGUAACUUCUUUGAUAUAGAUAUUUCUGUUCCAUUAUAUUUAACUGCUUAUUUCCUUGCUGAGCAAGCUGUUGCUCACCCUUGCGUUAAAUAUAAUGUUUUCAGUUAAAACUGAGGUUACUGGUCCAUCUAGAAAAGACAAAGGAAAAGACAAAGUUAUUGAGUAGUCAUUUAUUAAGCGCCUGUGCUUAAGUGAACUUAAGAAAUGAAUGUAAUAAAUAUUGUUAGUAUUAUGUCGUGUAAUAAGAUUUGGUUUGUAUUGUAUGUAAAGGUCUAUAGAACCUUUAAGUACAAUGUUUAUGUAAUAUAAGACAGUUUUCUUUUAGUAUGAACAGGUAUUCUAGUAUCGUGAGCACCAAAUUCGAGUUAAAGAUAACCCGGAUUUGGGGGUGUCACAGGUAAGUUUUUCUUCACUUCUAGAAUGUAGAUUUCUAUUUUUGAAGAACCAAACUGAGGUUAAUAUUGAGCUUGAUGCUAAAUACAUCUUGGGGUGAAUAUUUAUUCUACCAUAUAAACUGUAAUAUAUGCUAGUUUUUGACAGGCACAGAUAAUGUGACAAUGUUCUUUCUUAUCUGUAUGUUUUUUCCACCCUAUAAUAUGUCUUGGUACGUAGUCAUGGUUUUUGUAUAAUCUGUUACGUUUCAGGUUCAUGAAGGAAGAAGAUUUCAUUCUUGGAGCACCUAAAUAUGAAAUGACACCAGUUGUAUGUGCAGUUUUACUAUACUUCCAACUCCCCAUUUAUUUUCUUGUUCUUUUCCUAUUCUGUCUCAAAAUUUGGAAAAUGUGCAUACAUAAAACCUUUUAAAUUAUAAGUGGCCUAGGAUUUUAGCCUAUGUACGUUGUAAAAGGGCAAGCACCAGUGGAAGCAUGAUGUAGAUGAUUUUUAUAGGAAUGAACUGUUACUGGCCAACCAAUAUUGAUUAUAAAACUGAUGUUUUUAUACUGUGGUGCAGCGUGUACCAAAAAACUCAGCUUUUGUGAUGGGUGAUAAUCGCAACGGCUAUGAUUCGCAUGUAUGGUAUGUAGUCUCAAUCUUCAGCUCAUAAAUGCUUUUCACAAGAUAUCAUUUUUCAAGUAUUUUUGCAUGCUUUUUGAAGAUAACCCAUCCCCUUAUUAAAUUGAAUGCAAUGAUGGGAAAUAUUUUUGGCAAUGGAAAGUGGAGUACUUGUUCUAACUUGUGUUAUAACCAGGUUAGAGAGUAAUUAUGCAUUGAUGUGCCAACCAUAUUUAUUGUUUAGUCACUCAAAUUGAACAAGAAAUUGGUGGUAUUCUAAAGUAUUAUGAAAUAGAAGCCAAGCCUUGAUAUUGUACCACGUAGUAACUCUAUUGUCUUUAUGUAUUGAUUUUGGCACUAAGUGCCAAUGGUGACUUAUUUACUUCAUUUUCCUGACUAGCUAUUAUUUUUAAAUGUGCAGGAAGACUGCUUCUACGACUUGCCUUACAAUACUGGGUAUCAAAUUUCAAUGCUACGUUUACGGAAGACAAGGGACGAAAUUAUGAAGUGUACCCUCUCUAUAUAUGUAGAUAUAUACUUUGAUUGAAUAACUGUGGUAACUUUAGAUGGUUAAUUGUAAAGAUAAUGAAUGAUUAUGUAGUGGAUGAUUUUAUUAAGUUAAUAAUAUUUUAGUUUUUGUAUUUUUGUCUUUAUUUUCUAUGGGGACAUUGAGCCAGCCAG